AGCAGCCGCGGUAAUUCCAGCUCCAAUAGCGUAUAUUAAAGUUGUUGCAGUUAAAAAGCUCGUAGUUGAAUUUCGGGAUCAAAGGAUCGGUCAUGCCUUGGUAUGUACUGGUUUUAUUGGUUCUCACCUUCUAAAGAACCAUAAUGUCAUUCAUUUGAUGUUAUGGGGAAUUAGGACUGUUACCUUGAAAAAAUUAGAGUGUUUAAAGCAGGCUUACGCUUGAAUACAUUAGCAUGGAAUAAUGAAAUAGGACAUCAGAUUCUAUUUUGUUGGUUUCUAGGAUCGAUGUAAUGAUUAAUAGGGAUAGUUGGGGGCAUUAGUAUUCAAUUGUCAGAGGUGAAAUUCUUGGAUUUAUUGAAGACUAACUACUGCGAAAGCAUUUGCCAAGGAUGUUUUCAUUAAUCAAGAACGAAAGUUNUGGGGUAUCNAAGACGAUCAGAUACCGUCGUAGUCUUAACCAUAAACUAUGCCGACUAGGGAUCGGAUGAUGUUAAUUUUUAUAAUGACUCAUUCGGCACCU
rnacentral:rRNA from 1 species